rnacentral:rRNA from 1 species
GAUGAACGCUGGCGGCGUGCUUAACACAUGCAAGUCGAACGGGAAACCUUUUAUUGAAGCUUCGGCAGAUUUAGAUUGUUUCUAGUGGCGGACGGGUGAGUAACGCGUGGGUAACCUGCCUUAUACAGGGGGAUAACAGUCAGAAAUGACUGCUAAUACCGCAUAAGCGCACAGAGCUGCAUGGCUCGGUAUGAAAAACUCCGGUGGUAUAAGAUGGACCCGCGUUGGAUUAGCUAGUUGGUGAGGUAACGGCCCACCAAGGCGACGAUCCAUAGCCGGCCUGAGAGGGUGAACGGCCACAUUGGGACUGAGACACGGCCCAGACUCCUACGGGAGGCAGCAGUGGGGAAUAUUGCACAAUGGGGGAAACCCUGAUGCAGCGACGCCGCGUGAAGGAAGAAGUAUCUCGGUAUGUAAACUUCUAU